rnacentral:lncRNA from 1 species
CUGGGGGAGCCACAAGUACCAGCAGCAGCAGCACGUGGGAAGUCAGGACACCCCAGCUCCCUGGCCCCAUCUAGAUCCAAGAGGAAAUCUCAGCGCCUGGGGGGCUGGGUUGGAUUUUGGCAGGACUGCACCCAUAAUUGAAGAAACUGGAAUGCACACCAACCCACAUGAGAUAACAGACAAGCAAUGAUAUCACGGCUCAUGAGAAUGAAGAGUUCAGGGGCGCUGAGUCUAUAGUUUUCCUUUCUUUACCAUAGCUUCAGAAAUUUUUCUCAAUACCCUGUGCCCUGAAGAGGAUGGAAUUUCAUUUUCUUUCAGCUGAAGCUUGAGAGGUGAUGACGGGAGGUUGUCUAGACUUUAUACUUUGAAGUCCACUCCGGGAUGCUUGACCUACGGGUCAGAGACAAGAAAGCGAAGUCUUGCACAGUUUUUGGCAUCACAGUAGUUUAAGCCCUUCUUGAUGUGAGGCUCUGUAACAGUGUGUCCAAGGCAAUGGACAAAGACCAGGAAGUCUAAUCAGAAGGAGGAACGAGCAUGCUCUCCGAUGUGCUUGGUAAACACAGAGAUAAGUGGAAAAUAUCAACAUGAACCUGUAGCCUUUUAAAAAGGGAAGCUUGUUCUGCUCUGAUGUGAGUUCUUUUCUGGAUCUCGAGAAGUGGAUGGUUGUCAGCUCUUGGGAGCAGAUGCGGGUGCAGGAGAGGAGUCUCAUUUCCUGGGGGUUCCAGCGGACUUAGUUCAGGUGAGGUGGCAUGAUGUCAUUUUGUUAUUAGGCACCACCAUGGGGACUGCAUGUUGUCAAUGGACCCACUAUGCUCAUGAUGCUCCUUAUCGAGUUCUCCCCUGUGCAGCUCCCAGGCCCUGCUCCUGGGGCAGUCGCGUGGGGCCCCUCACCAUCUGACGGCUGUCACCGCAGGCCAGGAUGUGCAUUCUCAACAGUCCAGGCAUCGAGGGCUGCUCCUGCAGUAUGAUGGAUACUGUAGCUGUUUGCUUUUGAAAAAGAAAGACCUGUGGCGAGAGCAUUUCCUUCUCAAAGUAAACAC